GGUUGUGAGGGUGAUCUGUCUGUGACAUUUGUCACUCCAUUGAUCACCAGGGUUGAUUCAGCUGAUGUGACUGGCUAGGUGGGUGUCCCCUUCCUCUCUCACUGCUCCAUGUACAUCCCUCCCAGGGAAGCAGACUUGGCCCAGUGGUCAGGGCAUCUGUCUACCACAUGGGAGGUAUGUGGUUCAAGCCCCAGGCCUCCUUGACCCAUGUGGACUGGCCCAUGUG
rnacentral:snRNA from 1 species